UAAUCCUGCUCAGUAUAAGAGGAACUGCAGGUUCAGACAGUGGGUGUCUGUGCUUGGCUGAGGAGCCAAUGGUGCAGAGGAGCCAAUGGUGCAAAGCUGCCAUCUGUGGGAUUAUGACUCAAUGCCUCUAAAUCAGAAUCCCCA
rnacentral:ncRNA from 1 species